rnacentral:misc_RNA from 1 species
AUGAAUGGUCGUCUAUGGCCUUCGACACUUCAAAACUGUGGAGGUAGAGUGUGCUUCGGCGCUUCGGCGCCGCCUUUUAUGCUUGUAGAGUCUGUGUCUGAGCCUAAAACAUAGUCUA